AGGAGGUGGCCGAUGGAAUCGGAGAAGGCGCACAAGGUCUGUGUCUAGUACUCUCCACACCUUGCGCUACUCAGGUCUGCUUGGGUCCUCCC
rnacentral:pre_miRNA from 1 species